rnacentral:rRNA from 1 species
UACGAAGGGUGCAAGCGUUACUCGGAAUUACUGGGCGUAAAGCGUGCGUAGGUGGUUUGUUAAGUCUGUUGUGAAAGCCCCGGGCUCAACCUGGGAAUGGCAAUGGAUACUGGCAAGCUAGAGUGCGGUAGAGGGUAGUGGAAUUCCUGGUGUAGCGGUGAAAUGCGCAGAUAUCGGGAAGAACACCCGUGGCGAAGGCGGUUCUCUGGGACGGUACUGACGCUGAGACGCGAAAGCGUGGGGAGCGAACAGG